GACGAACCGUGCGAACGUUGUUCGGAAUCACUGGGCUUAAAGGGCGCGUAGGCGGGAGGGCAAGUCUGUGGUGAAAUCCCCCAGCUCAACUGGGGGAACUGCCGUGGAUACUGCCCUUCUCGAGGGGUGUAGGGGCAUGCGGAACUUCCGGUGGAGCGGUGAAAUGCGUAGAUAUCGGAAGGAACGCCGGUGGCGAAAGCGGCGUGCUGGACACCUACUGACGCUGAGCGCGAAAGCCAGGGGAGCGAACGGG
rnacentral:rRNA from 1 species